AAUACGCUCCGGGAUUCAAAAAUUCCUAGGAAGGAAGAGACUAGGGAGGCGAGGCCCGUCGGAUGCGCAAGCCGACUUUCACUGAGGGUUUCUGGCGCAGCGAGUGGAAGGACCUGCUCGGCGGGAACCGUUCUGUCCCUCCCAGGCGACGUCCGAUGGGUGUGUCGGGCAGGCGUUGAUAUUGGACGGGCUGCGGCCCGGACAGCGGCUUAGGAGUCGGGAGCCAGGAGCCAGGAGCCAGGAGCCAGGAGCCCGGAAGGGAACCGGGAGCCAAGCAGGGUGCGAGCAUGGCCGCCCCAGGCCCACCGCCCCCCACCAGCCACGCGCCACCCGACGUGCCCUCGGGGCUCGCGCUGUUCCUCACCAUCCCCUUCGCCUUCUUCCUGCCGGAGCUGGUGUUUGGGUUCUGGGUCUGGGUCCUGGUGGCCGCCACCCACGUGGCAAACCCGCUGCUGCAAGGAUGGGUGUUGUACGUCUCGCUGACCUCGUUCCUCAUCUCCCUCAUGUUCCUGUUGUCUUACUUGUUUGGAUUUUACAAGAGAUACGAGUCCUGGAGAGUCCUGUGGAGCAACAUCGAAGGAAAUGCCAGCAGGAAAAGGUCACCCCAAUCUCGAGGUCUUGUCACAAUCACUGGCCUGUACCACGGGACCACCGGCAUCCUGUACAUGAGCGCGGCUGUCCUGCAGGCCCACGCCACCAUCGUCUCUGAGAGCGAGGACCUGGGCAACUACAUGACAAACACCGCGGCCACGCCCUCCGGUCCAGUUUAAGAACCCAUUGUGGCCCUCGAGUCAAAAAGUUUGCCCACCCCUGCCUUAGGCUCAACAGACCAGACUCCAGGCCCCUGUGCCUCCCUUCCUGGUCUCUGCACUGCGCCUCCUUCCUCCCUGUGUGGGAAUGGCGCCCUCACGUGGCAGCAAGCUCACAGCUGACAGAUUCCUCCUCUGACACCUUUAUCACCUCACCUGGGAAACUUCCAAGACAGGACUCCAGCUGGGUCUCAGUCACCUUGGCAUCACUGUGGCCAGAAACGUGGAGUCCGUGUCCCUGGGAGCUCCCACAGAGAUCAGUUUUUUGCCUUCAUCACCACCCUACUCUACGUGCUCCACGCCUUCAGCAUCUACUACCACUGAGGGCAGGAGUCCUGCCCGGCGCGAAAUGCUCCUGUAACGCGUGGACCAUGGCUCCCAAAGGUCGCUUCAGCAUUCGCCAUCUGGAUGACACACAGACCAACAACACGUCAGUGGGACUAACAGGCCGUCUUUUCAGACGGGAGGAUGAAAUCACACUCCGCAUAGCCUCCUGGACAACGCUGGGCAGGAAGAGGGUCCUGUGAACAGGCUGUGUUGUCUUUUGCCUCGGAAAGUAACUGGCUCCACAAAACGAGCUUCCAAAGCCCUCAGCGCUGAGAAUCCCGAUCCACCAGCGUCACCUGGUGGAUCCACCUGGCUGGGGACCUGUCUCAGCAAUUAGGGUCCCCAGGCAGGUGUGUGGGAACGUGCAGUCUUAGUUUCUUAAAGCUGAAAUGGUGCUAGCAAAGCCUCCACAUUACAUCUCCGCUUAGAUGCAGACCCUCUCCCGCCCUGUGGUUCUGCUCUGAUCGGCAGCAAAGACCAGCCGCACUGCCACUCCAUUACAUCCCCCUUCCUUCCCUCCCCAGCUUCAGGAUCCAAUUUAGAGGCUAGAUUUGCAGGAAAAGAAGUGAGUGACUCUACAAAAUUGUUAUACGGUAAGAGCUGGGGGUGGGGGUGGGGGUGGGCUGCAGGACCCCACCCAACAAGAACUAGAAGCCACCUUGCCCCCCACAAAAGACCUUCAAGGAAGGAAGCAGGAUGUUACGUACAAGGACUCUCCCCUGGGCUCCUCUCACGCUCUGCGGGGCAUUUAAGGAGGCCGGGAAAGGACCCCAGCCCAGGGACGUGCUCUUUCGUGGGUGCCCACCCCCCUCAAGUGCCCGCUGUGGUGCCAGCAGAGAGGAGCCCGGGCCACUCCGCUGCCUCCUGCAGCGCGGGGCUCACACGGCUGGACACAUGGCAUCCGACUUUGGGACCAUUCUCAACGAGAAGGCUGGCGUUGUGCACACAGAAACACAAAAAGAGGUGCUUGGUUUCAAAGUAAAGGUUUUCCCUGAGAAACACGGCUGUGCAUCUGGGAUUUCUCCGCACCGUCCUCGGCUCCCCGGUGGGUCUCCUGGCCUCUCGGCUCGGGCAUCGCGGCUCCGGCAUCGCCCAUAACCGCACACACCUGGGACUCCUCUUAGCUGAUUUAAGGGCGCACAGUUCCUAUCUUCUGCUCCUGGGAGAAGGGGGACAGGGAGUCACCGAAGAGAAACCGGCCUCCCUGUCGUUGACUGCUGGCUUCCCAAUUGCCCCGCUGUCUCGAAAAGCCCCCAUUUAUCUCUCUUUCUUGCCUGGCAGCUGCCUGGGAUGAGCACUGUUCAAUAUUUACCGAGUAGCCACGUCCAAAUAAAAGGUGUUUUACAGUAAAA